AUGGCAUCCGGCAAAUUCCUCCACCUCAAGUUCUUGAGUAUUCUUCUUAUGAGUGGAUCUAAUUUUGACAAGGACUACGAUUAUUUAUCGUUGGUUCCUGUUUUCCAAGCAUCUCCUUCCCUGGAGACAUUUCGCUUGUUUGUAUGGGAACACUCCAUGUAUCACUGGUUUGAGGGAGAUCCUGCCUCUCUUAGGCGACUGCCACAACACUGCCAUGGGAACCUCAAGAGUGUGAAGAUCAUUGGUUUCUUCCCCCAAAAGAGAAUGAUUGAGCUGGCAUGCCAUCUUCUCGAGAAUGCAACAUCACUUGAGUCCCUUACAGUGGAUGCUAGUCCUGCUAAUUACCGGUGUUCUGGCAAGGGCAGGAAAUGCUGUCCCCUGAAAGCUACAGCUAUAGUGAAGGCACGUAAAUCAAUCUUGGCUGUGAAAAAAUACAUCAAGGGGAAUGUUCCCUCUACAGUCAAGUUAAAUGUUCCGAAGCCUUGCCAACGAUGCCAUCGCUUUUAG
rnacentral:rRNA from 1 species